UACGUAGGGGGCAAGCGUUGUCCGGAUUUAUUGGGCGUAAAGAGCGUGUAGGCGGCCAGAUAGGUCUGUUGUGAAAACUCGAGGCUCAACCUCGAGACGCCGAUGGAAACCAUCUGGCUAGAGUCCGGGAGAGGUGAGUGGAACUCCGAGUGUAGAGGUGAAAUUCGUAGAUAUUCGGAAGAACACCAGUGGCGAAGGCGGCUCACUGGCCCGGUACUGACGCUGAAAUACGAAAGCGUGGGGAGCAAACAGG
rnacentral:rRNA from 1 species